GGGCACAUAGCUCAACGGCAGAGCAGUCGUCUUAUAAGCGACCGGUUCCAGGUUCGAAUCCUGGUGUGCCCACCA
rnacentral:tRNA from 1 species